CCUCUCUCCGAGACAGUGCCCA
rnacentral:snRNA from 1 species